rnacentral:ncRNA from 1 species
CUGAUGAACACGGGAGUCCGGUGCACCGGACUGAGAGGAAGGCAGCAGCCUUCGACCGUCGAACCUGAUCUGGGUCAUGCCAGCGUAGGGAACGUUUCGAUUUCCUCUU